rnacentral:rRNA from 1 species
UACGGGGGGGGUAAGCGUUGUUCGGAAUUACUGGGCGUAAAGGGCUCGUAGGCGGCCAACUAAGUCAUACGUGAAAUCCCUCAGCUUAACUGGGGAACUGCGUGUGAUACUGGAUGGCUUGGAUUUGGGAGAGGGAUGCGGAGUUCCAGGUGAGCGGUGAAAUGCGUAGAUAUCUGGAGGAACACCGGUGGCGAAGGCGGCGAUC